GGCCCCAUGGUCAAGCGGUUAAGACACCGCCCUCUCACGGCGGCAACAGGGGUUCGAAUCCCCUUGGGGUCA
rnacentral:tRNA from 4 species